rnacentral:rRNA from 1 species
UACGAAGGGGGCUAGCGUGCUCGGAAUCACUGGGCGUAAAGGGUGCGUAGGCGGGUCUUUAAGUCAGGGUGAAAUCCUGGAGCUCAACUCCAGAACUGCCUUUGAUACUGAAGAUCUUGAGUUCGGGAGAGGUGAGUGGAACUGCGAGUGUAGAGGUGAAAUUCGUAGAUAUUCGCAAGAACACCAGUGGCGAAGGCGGCUCACUGGCCCGAUACUGACCGCUGAGGCACGGAAAGCGUGGGAGCAAACAGGG